AACGAACGCUGGCGGCAGGCUUAACACAUGCAAGUCGAACGGGCACCUUCGGGUGUCAGUGGCAGACGGGUGAGUAACGCGUGGGAACGUACCCUUCGGUUCGGAAUAACCCAGGGAAACUUGGGCUAACACCGGAUACGUCCGCAAGGAGAAAGAUUUAUCGCCGAAGGAUCGGCCCGCGUCGGAUUAGCUAGUUGGUGGGGUAAUGGCCCACCAAGGCGACGAUCCGUAGCUGGUCUGAGAGGAUGAUCAGCCACACUGGGACUGAGACACGGCCCAGACUCCUACGGGAGGCAGCAGUGGGGAAUAUUGGACAAUGGGCGAAAGCCUGAUCCAGCCAUGCCGCGUGAGUGAAGAAGGCCUUAGGGUUGUAAAGCUCUUUCAGCGGGAAGAUAAUGACGGUACCCGCAGAAGAAGUCCCGGCUAACUUCGUGCCAGCCGCCGCGGUAAC
rnacentral:rRNA from 1 species